UAUCUCACUUCUUAGAAAUCACACAGAAAACAACAUGCGUGGCUACACUGAGACACAGGUCCUGCCUCUGUCACAGUAAUUUUAUUGCAGUGGUGACAAUGAGACCUAUAACAUUU